AGAGUUUGAUCAUGGCUCAGGACGAACGCUGGCGGCGUGCCUAAUACAUGCAAGUCGAGCGGACUUGAUGGAGUGCUUGCACUCCUGAGAGUUAGCGGCGGACGGGUGAGUAAUACGUAGGCAACCUGCCUGUAAGAUCGGGAUAACUACCGGAAACGGUAGCUAAUACCGGAUAAUCUAUUUUCUCGCAUGAGGGAGUA
rnacentral:rRNA from 1 species